rnacentral:rRNA from 1 species
CCCGCACAAGUAGCGGAGCAUGUGGUUUAAUUCGAAGCAACGCGAAGAACCUUACCUAAGCUUGACAUCCCAAUGACAUCUCCUUAAUCGGAGAGUUCCCUUCGGGGACAUUGGGGACAGGUGGUGCAUGGUUGUCGUCAGCUCGUGUCGUGAGAUGUUGGGUUAAGUCCCGCAACGAGCGCAACCCUUGUCUUUAGUUGCCAUCAUUAAGUUGGGCACU